rnacentral:lncRNA from 1 species
CUUCCGGGCCCACCAUCUCCGUUAACAAGCUCAGAGCUCUUGAUUGCAUGUGGCACAACCUUGGGGAAAAGGUUGUCACCGUCAAGAACAAAGGCCUUGAACAUCUUGGCUGGGGGGACUGAGGUAGCAACCUCCAUUUCAUAAGUGACAACACCCAUGAUUCUACACUAGGAGUUUGAAAAUGUUCAAAUUUGAGAAGAUGAAACAAAGAGAAAAAGAGGAAGAAUAACUGAGUUUUUGAGUUGUGGGAAGAAGUGAGAACUAAGAUGUAUUUAUAGUUGCUAUUACCUUCAAAGAAUUUGCAGUGGUCAAAAGAAGCACCCUGCAUGAAAUUUUCCAUAGUAAAUGGCCAAUUGAUCAUUUUAAAAUGUUGUACCAACCUAUAGAAGAAAAAAAAAAAAACAUUUUAUUAAUGCCUGGUGCCAUGCGGCCUUUUGGCAUGUAAACAGACUGCAAAAUUUCAAUAUAAUAACAGCAAAGUGGAUAUCAGAGGGCAGCAACAAUUUGACAAAAUUAAGUUGUGAAGAUGAAGGCACCUUUCGUUGACUAACUAUUUCAUUAUCAUAAGUGAGAAAAUAAAGACCAAAAGAUAUAAAUAAAUAAAUAUAUAUAUAUAUAUAUAUAUUUAUCAAAUUAAAGCUUGAGAAGACUUGGUGGACUAUCUAGAAAGCAAGUACUGAAAGAGGUAAUAGGUAUAUGGAAUCCUUGUAUGACUUUUUAAAAAUAUACAAAAAUAAAAUAAAAUUUAUUUUUUUAUUUUUAUCUUGCACAUUUAAAUAAAUUUUUAUAAAUAUAUCUUUUUAAAUAUAAAUAUAUUAAUUUUAAUAAAUCCAAAAUAAAAUUUAUAUUAUUAAAUAAAAAAUUAAUUUAUUAAAUAUAUAUAAGAUACAAAUAUAAGGUCAAUAUUAUAUUACUUAUUUAUGUAUCCAUGCUUAAUAAAAAAUUUUAAAUCAUAUGCAUUUUUAUUCCCUCUUUAAAAUUUAAUUUCCAUCCCAUCUCAUUACCAUAAAAAAUCUGAUUCCUCAUCAAAUUUAACUAAGAUUGACAUCCCUUUACCUCCAAUUAAGUUUUAAACCUUAGAACUUAACUGUUGGGUACUUGGAACAUCUUGAUUACGACCAUUUCUCAUUGGUUGGAUGAAUUAUGGCUGUUUUUUAUAUAAUUGGGUUUUCUGCAACAUGAGCCACAAGUGAACUGCUAGACGACCCUGCUUUGAAACUUCUCUUCAUCUACGUGUUUGACAAUUCUUAGAGUUUGAAAUUUUCCCAAUGUUAUAUCAUUUCAUCAAAAAAAUAAAAUAAAAUUUUUCUAUACUAUCUGAUGUCACUAUUGACGAGAGAUUUAUCACACUUGAAACCAUAUAAACAUAUAUCAAAAACUUUAUAUAUAUAUGUUAGAUAUUAUUUGAAUCCAAAAACUUAAACUAUUGAGUUUUUAGAUCUUUUAUAUAUAUAUAUAUAUAUAAUAUCUCAUUUAUAUUUUUUAGUAAUGUUGAAUUUUUUACUUACAUAUGAACCAUCCAAUAAUCUUUCUCAUUCACUUGUAAGCUUUCAUCAAAUCCCACAUCGAUUUUUCGUGCGAGUAAAUCCUAUCAAUACUUUUUUUGAACCAAAAAACCUCACAUCUCUAGUGUAUUUUUAGGGCAGAUCAUAUACUCAACCUUGUAGUCUAGGUUAUCUUAGUACCCCUCAAGUUUGCACUCGAUGUUGAUUCAAUACAUUGCCGAGUUUCACUUUUGCACACUCACUACAUUCAGUCAAACCUUUUUACAUUGAUGCCGGCAUUUGAGCGUAUAAAAUUGAUGGACGCGAUUAACUUCCGAUUUGUCAACAAUCUUUUCAUUUAGUAAUACUACUUAAAUUCGAAUUCGUGACCUUGGCUCUAAUAGCACUUAUUGGGCAUAGGGAUGACAAGCUCGUUUCGAACCCGAUCCGACUUUAUAUUCACAAAUCCCAAACUCGAUUCAACCCAAAAGUUUUUUUAUUUUUUUCAUACUCAAAUCCGAUCCAAUAUUAUAUAAAUUGUAUCCAACUCAACCUGACCUUAAAUUAAUAAAAUAUUAUUUUUUUAAUAUAAAAAUAUUAUUUUUUAAUAUAAAUAUAAAAUUAUAUAAAUAUAUAUAAAUAAAAAAUUAAAUAAUUAAUUAAAAAAUAAUUUAUAUAUAUCGAAUCGGGUGUGAUCGGAUUUGCCUAAAAUUCAACCUUGAUCCGAAACUCGAUUUUCAAAAAAAAAAAUAAUGUUAUGAGAUCGAAUCAAAUCGGAAUCCAUCGAGAGAGUAGUUGGAUUGUCAACUCUAGUUGAGCUUAAAUCGAUAAAUACAAUAACGUAAAAAUAAUAUAUAAUAAUAAACUUAUAAUAAUAAUUAAUAAUUAAUAACGUAAAAGAAAUAAAGCACAUAAAAAACAAGAAGUUUUUACCCAGUACAUAGCGUGUUCAUAUGGUUUUUGCUUAGGCUUGUGUUGUAUUCAAGAAUGGCUGCCACAGGUCAAUUGGCCUUUCUCUGUUCGUAGAGUAUAAUAUUUUGUCAACAAAUUGUACCUAAUGCCGCAAACAAUGUUAGGCAAAAAAUGAUUAGAACGCCCCUUCAAAGUUGACUUACUCUUAAUGCUGCUGGCUUCCUGAUUUUUACGUUCUUUUUCUUUCAAUAUCAUGCAUCCUAGCAAGAGGCUUUAGUCUAACAAUUAGGCUGGAUGUUAGUCUGUGCGAUACGCUUCAAUCUGGCAACAAGUUACAUCUUUUAGCUAGCAGAGUUCAUCAGACAUGACCCAAUUUGUCCAAAUCUGAUUUUUUUUUUUUUUUGGGUGAGGGCAGGAGCAUAUGGUUAAAUGACCCUGGCAGCCAUGGCUGUUUGUUGGAGCUCAGGCUUGAUGGAUUUAAAAUUCCGAAAAAACUAGGUGUCUAUGUCUCACAAGCAGGUUGGAUGUCUAAUGAAGAAGAAUCAAUUAAGGAAUUUCUGGCAGAAAUAGUUUGGCUGCUUAGGUAUCUUUUCUGAAAAAAUUGAUCAUACCAUGUGUUCAGUAAUUUGGCAAAUCUUGAUAGAUGAAGAUAAAUGGAUAAUGCAGCAACUCAUUUGCAGUACAUUGCUUGAAUCCGUCACAGUUUCUAGUAAAUGCUCCUUAAUUCUCCUGGACCAACAAUGCAAAAAGUAAAAGGUAAAAAAAAAAAAAAAAAAACAAAAAGCAACUCCCUCACACAAGCACAAAUCCAUUCUACAUCUAAUUUAUGAUCAUUGAAGUGGAUCCAAUCUCAAUAUUGGGAUUUUCAGUAGGCGCCAGGAUUUGCCAGGAGGUAGGCUUCAACAGCCUUGAAUAAUUCCAAGGCCUUUUCUUUGCCUGCCUUGAUUCCCUCUUCUGUGAUCUCGAAGUCACCAAUGGUGUAAUAUUUACUAGUGAUAUUACAUAUGGAUCCCCCGGCAGGAGAUGGUUCCAACUUGACAUUGUUAAUCAACAGAUUAUUGGUUAAAUCAAUAGAUUAUUUGUGCCACUUUGUGAAUCCCAUCCUAUCUCACAUGUCAACAUGGUUAAAACGAUGAUCAUACAUGAAAGAUUUAGGCUCAAUUUGAUGCGUGUUCGGUCAUAAAAUAGCAUCCAUGACGCCAGGGAGUCCCUCCCACCAUGCAUCCAAAGGGGGUCUUUGGGUGUACUUGUUGAUAAUUGUUUGUUAUUUUCCUGGGAAUAAAACAUGUUGCAAGUUGCAAUAAAGCAACAAAAUAACAUGAAAUGGUUAGAAAUCAUGACAGUACAUGUCGCAAAAUUUAUCCGAGUGACAGCAUAGGGCCAGCUUUCAUCCUGUCGAGAUCCUGAUCAGCCAAAAUUGAUCAAUGUUUGUGUCAAAUUUGAACAUGGUUAUGUACCUAUGUUCAUGUAAGAUAAACAAAAACUGAAACUUUUGAGAAUGCUCCUUUUAUCCACAUUAAAUAUAUAUAAUUUUCUAAUUGCUCUUCAAUUAGGCCCCCUGUUUUUCCCAUAAUUCUCUCUUUGCCCCCACUUAAGUUUUUAUAACCUUGAACCCUUGAACUUCACUGUUGGGUACUUAGAACAUCUUGACCUUCAAUGCCCUUCGAAAAUAGAAUUGAUUGAUUAUUUUGCAGAGAAUUUUUAGGCGUGGAGAUGUGAACCUGAAGCUGCAGUAUUUAUAGAGUGAGAUCGAAGAACAGCUUUUCUAGGUGAUUUCUUCAUACUAUACUGGACGGUUUCAGUUUGGCAACGUAAUCAUUAGUUUUCACUAGACAAUUGAUUCAGGUUUGUGUAUUCUUCGAUCAAGAACAAAUUUAUGGAUCUUGAAAGCUGUCAAUAUCAGAAGAUUAAAAAGAAAGAACUCUAAUAUUUUAAGCAUGGAAGACCUUGAAUCAAGUGCGUGGACUGUUACGAACUCGCAACUAUGUUGACUAACUUAGAAAAGGGUUUUGAAGUUAGGUUCACUUGCAGCUUUUAGCCACAGGUGAACCAAAGACGCUGCUUCAUAGCAUAUUUCUCCUCAGUGUUAUAUGUAUAUAUUGUUUAUCAGGAGUUGUGGACUUAGUCUUACAGCCCAUAUCAAGUUAUUAGGGGGAAAUUUUAGGCAACGAAUGUCAAAUUCUUUAUGACUUUAGGUUCAUAUCUUGGAAAUAGGAGGGAUUUGGAUUUCAUCAUCACUCCUGGUUCACCUUAAAAAAUUUAUGACAGAAAAAAAAAAAAGAAAUUGCAAAUAAUAAAAGCUUGAUUGCUAUAUAUUUUUCAUUUCAUGUAUCAAAUAUAAUACAACUCAAACUCCUUAAUUAUAUAAUGAAAACACAGACGAUCACGGCCAGAGACCACCACUCUUAUUAGCCAUUGAAGGAAAGUUUGGCAAAAAGCAAAUAAGAAAAAUCAAAAUCACACCAUUAAAAGGGAUAUGAUAUGAAGAAUAGCAAGCAGGAGCUGCGAAAUGAAAGCAACCUAGUUGUAGAGAUCAGGAUUUGCCAAGAGGUAAGCUUCAACAGCCUUGUACAUUCCGGAGGCCCUUUCUUUGCCAGCCUUAAUUUGCUCUUCAUUGAUCUCAAUGUCACCAAUGGUAUAAUACUUGCUGGUGCUCUUGCAAAUUGAUCCUCCAUCUGGUGCUGCCACAAACUUGGUCUCAUAACUGAUUUUCUCAAGUGUGUUCACGAAAGCAUCUCCUUCGAUCACACUAUAACUGUAUGAGAAGUUCUCCUUGUCUAUUCCUUCAACCUUUUGUUUCGCAUACUUGAAUUGGCUGCCUACAAUUGUUACCAAGCAAAAAUCUUACAUACUAUUGUAUUUCUCAAAAUUAGAAAAUGGAAAGGAAUUCAUGUGGCAAGAAAUGAAAACUAACCUUCACCAAAAGUAAUCUUCUUGAUACUUCCAGGCCCACCAUCUCCUUCAACAAGCUCAGAACUCUUGAUUGCUUGUGGCACAACCUUGGGGAAAAGAUUGUCACCGUCAAGAACAAAGGCCUUGAACAUUUGGCUGGGGGGAUUGAGGUAGCUACCUCCAUUUCAUACGUGACAACACCCAUGAUUCUACAAUAGGAGUUUGAAAAUGUUCAAAUUUGAGGAAGAUAAAACAGAGAGAAAAAGAGGAUGAUUAACUGAGUAUUUUGAGAUGUGGGAAGAAGCGAGAACUAAGAUGGUAUUUAUAGUUGCUAUACUUUCAAAGAAUUUGCAGUGGUCAAGAAAAGCACCCUGCAUGAGAAUUUCCAUGGUAAACGGCUAAUUGAUCAUUUUAAAAUGUUGUACCAACCUAUAGGAGCAAAAAAAAAAAAAAAAUCAUUUGACCAUUUUGUUAAUAGAUGGUGCCAUGGGGCCUUUUGGCAUGUAUACAGUCUGCAAAAUUUCAAUAUAAUAACAGCAAAGUGGAUUUCAGAAGGCAGCAACAAUUUGACAAAAUUAAGUUGUGAAGAUGAAGGCGCCUUUGGUUGACUAACGACUUAAUUAUCGUAAGUGAGAAAAUAAAGACCAAAAGAUAUAAAUAACUAAAUAUAUUUUUUUUUUAUCAAAUUAAAGCUUGAGAAGACUUGGUGGACUAUCUAGAAAGCAAGUAGCGGAAGAAGUAAUAGUUAUUUGGAAUCCAUGUACCCAUGACUUUUUUAAAAUAUACGAAAAUAAAAUAUAAUAAAAUUUAUUUUUAUUUAACAUAUUUAAAUAUUUUUUAUAAAUAUAUCUUUUUUAAAUAUAAAUAUAUUAAUUUUCAUAAAUCUAAAAUAAAAUUUAUAUUAUUAAAUAAAACAUUAAUUUAUUAAAUAUAUAUAAAUUACAAUAACAAAAUCCAUAUUAUAUUAUCCAUCUUUAUACCCGUAUUCGAUAAAAAAAUUUAAAUCAUAUACAUUUUUAUCCCUUCCUUAAAAUUUAAUAUCCAUCCCAUCUCAAUACCAUAAAAAAUCUUAUUCCUAUUGAAUUUAAAGAAGAUUUGACAUCCCUGUUUACCUCCAAUUAAGUUUUUAUAACCUUGAACUUCACUGUUGGGUAUUCGGAACAUCUUGAUUACUACCAUUUCUCAUUGGUUGGAUGAAUUAUGGCUAUUUUUUGUACUUGGGUUUUCUGCACAUGAGCCAUAAGUGAACCGCCAGACGACCCUGCUUUGAAACUUCUCUUUAUCUACAUGUUUGGCUAUUCUUGGAGUUUGAAAUUUUCCCAAUGUUAUAUCAUUUCAUCAAAAAAAUAAAAUAAAAUAAAAUUUCUCUAUACUAUCUGAUGUCACUAUGUCAGCAUCCUUUUGGAAAAUGGUAGUGGCAUUCAUCAUAUCAAUUACCCAAAAUUUUACCAUAAACCCUUUUCUUUAAAAACGUGGGGAAGCCUUUGUGGAUUUAAAUUUCCAUAAUAAUUUGUCUUCCAGGUUGCAUCAAGGAAUAUGUGUCAGAAUAAGUUUCAUAUUUCUUCUGAAACUUGACUUUGUUAUGUUCAAUAUAUAAUUAGUAAAUCUUGAAAGAUGAAGAUGCUGGACUCAUCAUUUUCAAUGGAUGGCCUGAUCUCACAACAAUUUAUUAAUGCAGUUGACAUUUACAGUUCAAGCUUGCAGGUAAUCUCAGACAAACUAUGAACUCUUAUUAGCAAUCUGAAGGCCAUAUCAUAUGGACUGACAGACAACUGCAAAAACUAAAAAAGUAAAAAAGAAAAGGCAAUUCUCUCUCACUCAAAGCGCACAUAUGUUCCACACUGUCUGAUCAUUGAAGUGGAUGCUAUUUCAAUAAUGGGAUUUUUAAUAGGCAUCUGGAUUUGCUAGGAGGUAGGCUUCUAUAGCUUUGAACAAUCCCAAAGCCUUUUCUUUGCCUGCCUUGAUUGCCUCUUCCUUGAGCUCAAAGUCAUCAAUGGUGUAAUACUUACUAGUAGUCUUACACACGGAUCCCCCAGCUGCAGAGAGCUUUAACUUUGUCUCAUAAGUGAUUUUCUCAAGUUUGUUCAUCAAAGCAUCGCCUUCGAUCACGCUGUAACGACACACAAAAUUUUCUUUGUCUAAUGCUUCUACCUUCUGCUUCACGUAAUUGAAUUGGCUUCCUAAGAAUGGAAAGACAAAUAUUAAAAUGGAGCUGCAUAUCUAAGUUCCAAUUCAAUAUAUUAUUCAAAGUAUUUAGUUGCAUCUAUAAAUUAAUUGACUAACCUUCUUCAAAAGUAACUUUCUUGAUGCUCCCAGGCUCACCAUUGCCUUCAAUGUACUCAACACUCUUAAAAGCCUGAGGAACAAUCUUAGGAAUGAGCUUGUCACCAUCAAGGAUACAAGCCUUAAACAUCUUGGCUGGUGGGAUUGUAGUAACAAUCUCAGAUUCAUAAGUGAAAACUCCCAUGAUCACCGAGUGACUUGGAAAUGAUCGAAGAAUGAAAAUAGAAUUGAUUGCUUAUUUUGCAGAGAAUUUUUAGGUGUGGAGAUGUGAACCCGAAGCUGCAUUAUUUAUAGAGUGAGAUUAAAGAACAGCUUUUCUAGGUGAUUGCUUCAUAUUAUAUUGGAUGGUUUCAGUUUGGCGAUGUAAUCAUUAGUUUUCAAUUGACAGUUGAUUCUGGUUUGUGCAUUCUUCGAUCAAGAACAAAUUUAUGGAUCUUGAAAGCAGUCAAUAUCAGAAGAAGAUUAAAAAUAAAGAACUCUAAUAUUUUAAGCAUGGAAGACAUUGAAUCAAGUGCUUCAACUGUUAGGAACUCGUAACUAUGUGGUAAAUUGUAAUUGGAAAUGGAAUGACUAACUUAUAUAAGGGUUUUGAAGUUAGAUUCACUUGCAGCUUUUAGCCACAGGUGAACCAAAGACCCUGCUUCAUGGCUUAUUUCUGCUCUCACUGUUCACAUGUUUUUAUUGUUUAUCAGCUGUCAUAGAUAGUCGUGGACUUGGUCCCACAGCCCAUAUCAAGUUAUUAGCCUGGUUCACCUCAAAAGAUUUAUGACAAAAGAAAAAGAAAUUGCAAAUAAUAAAAGCUUGAUUACUAUAUUUUUUUCAUUUCAUAUAUCAAAGAUAAUACAACUCAAACACCUUAAUUAUAUAAUAAAAAUAGAGAUGAUCACAGCCAGAGACCAUCAUUCUUAUUAGCCAUUGAAGGAAAGUUUGUCAAAAAGCAAAAAAGAAAAAUCAAAUUCACACCAUUAAAAGGGAGAUGAUAUGAAGAAUAGCAAGCAGGAGCUGUGAAAUGAAAGCAACCUAGUUGUAGAGAUCAGGAUUUGCCAAGAGGUAAGCUUCAACAGCCUUAUACAUUCCGGACGCCCUUUCUUUGCCAGCCUUAAUUUGCUCUUCAUUGAUCUCAAUUUCACCAAUGGUGUAAUACUUGCUGGUGCUCUUGCAAAUUGAUCCUCCAUCUGGUGCUGCCACAAACUUGGUCUCAUAACUGAUUUUCUCAAGUGUGUUCAUCAAAGCAUCUCCUUCGAUCACACUAUAACUGUAUGAGAAGUUCUCCUUGUCUAUUCCUUCAACCUUUUGUUUCACAUACUUGAAUUGGCUGCCUACAUUUGUUACCAAGCAAAAAUCUUACAUACUAUUAUAUUUCUCAAAAUUAGAAAAUGGAAAGGAAUUCAUGUGGCAAGAAAUGGAAACUAACCUUCACCAAAAGUAAUCUUCUUGAUACUUCCGGGCCCACCAUCUCCUUCAACAAGCUCAGAACUCUUGAUUGCUUGUGGCACAACCUUGGGGAAAAGAUUGUCACCGUCAAGAACAAAGGCCUUGAACAUCUUGGCUGGGGGGAUUGAGGUAGCUACCUCCAUUUCAUACGUGACAACACCCAUGAUUCUACAAUAGGAGUUUGAAAAUGUUCAAAUUGGAGGAAGAUAAAAACAGAGAGAAAAAGAGGAUGAUUAACUGAGUAUUUUGAGAUGUGGGAAGAAGCGAGAACUAAGAUGGUAUUUAUAGUUGCUGUACUUUCAAAGAAUUUGCAGUGGUCAAAAAAAGCACCCUGCAUGAGAAUUUCCAUGGUAAAUGGCUAAUUGAUCAUUUUAAAAUGUUGUACCAACCUAUAGGAGCAAAAAAAAAAAAUCAUUUGACCAUUUUGUUAAUAGAUGGUGCCAUGGGGCCUUUUGGCAUGUAUACGGACUGCAAAAUUUCAAUAUAAUAACAGCAAAGUGGAUUUCAGAAGGCAGCAACAAUUUGACAAAAUUAAGUUGUGAAGAUGAAGGCGCCUUUGGUUGACUAACGACUUAAUUAUCGUAAGUGAGAAAAGAAAGACCAAAAGAUAUAAAAAAAUAAAUAUAAUAUUAUAUAUAUAUUUAUUCUAUCAAAUUAAAGCUCGAGAAGACUUGGUGGACUAUCUAGAAAGCAAGUGAAAGAAGUAAUAGGUAUUUGGAAUACAUGUACCCGUGACUUUUUUAAAAUAUACGAAAAUAAAAUAAAAAUUUUUUUAUUUUUAUUUUGCAUAUUUAAAUAUUUUUUAUAAAUAUAUCUUUUUUAAACAUAAAUACAUUAAUUUUAAUAAAUCUAAAAUAAAUUUUAUAUUAUUAAAUAAAAAAAUUAGUUUAUUAAAUAUAUAUAAAUUACAAGUAUAAAAUCAAUAUUAUAUUAUCCAUCUUUAUACCCGUAUUCGAUAAAAAAAUUUAAAUCAUAUACAUUCUUAUCCCUUCCUUAAAAUUUAAUAUCUUGAAUUUAAAGAAGAUUUGACAUCCCUUUUUACCUCCAAUUAAAUUUUUAUAACCUUGAACUUCACUGUUGGGUAUUCGGAACAUCUUGAUUACUACCAUUUCUCAUUGGUUGGAUGAAUUAUGGCUAUUUUUUGUACUUGGGUUUUCUGCACAUGAGCCAUAAGUGAACUGCCAGACGACCCUGCUUUGAAACUUCUCUUUAUCUACAUGUUUGGCAAUUCUUGGAAUUUGAAAUUUUCCCAAUGUUAUAUCAUUUCAUCAAAAAAAUAAAAUAAAAUAAAAUUUCUCUAUACUAUCUGAUGUCACUAUGUCAGCAUCCUUUUGGAAAAUGGUAGUGGCAUUCAUCAUAUCAAUUACCCAAAAUUUUACUAUAAACCCUUUUCUUUAAAAACGUGGGGAAGCCUUUGUGGAUUUAAAUUUCCAUAAUAAUUUGUCUUCCAGGUUGCAUCAAGGACUAUGUGUCAGAAUAAGUUUCAUAUUUCUUCUGAAACUUGACUUUGUUAUGUUCAAUAUAUAAUUAGUAAAUCUUGAAAGACGAAGAUGCUGGACUCAUCAUUUUCAAUGGAUGGCUUGAUCUCACAACAAUUUAUUAAUGCAGUUGACAUUUACAGUUCAAGCUUGCAGGUAAUCUCAGACAAACUAUGAACUCUUACUAGCAAUCUGAAGGCCAUAUCAUAUGGACUGACUAACAACUACAAAAAAAAAAAAUGUAAAAAAGAAAAGGCAAUUCUCUCUCACUCAAAGCACACAUAUGUUCCACACUGUCUGAUCAUUGAAGUGGAUGCUAUUUCAAUAAUGGGAUUUUUAAUAGGCAUCUGGAUUUGCUAGGAGGUAGGCUUCAAUAGCUUUGAACAAUCCCAAAGCCUUUUCUUUGCCUGCCUUGAUUCCCUCUUCCUUGAUCUCAAAGUCACCAAUGGUGUAAUAUUUACUAGUAGUCUUACACACGGAUCCCCCAGCUGCAGAGGGCUCUAACUUAUAAAAGGGUUUUGAAGUUAGAUUCACUUGCAGCUUUUAGCCACACGUGAAUCAAAGACCCUGCUUCAUUGCAUACUUUCACUGUUCACAUGUGCAUAUUGUUUAUCAGCUCUCAUAGACAGUUGUGGACUUGGUCUCACAGCUGAUAUCAAGUUAUUAGGUGGAAAUUUUAGGCAACAAAUGUCAAAUUCUUUAUCUGACUUUAGGUUCAGAUCUUGGAAAUAGAAGGGAUUUGGAUUUCGUCAUCAAUCCUGAUUCAGGUCAAAAAAUUUAUGACAAAAAAAAAAAGAAAUUACAAAUAAUAAAAGCUUGAUUACCAUAUAUUUUUCAUUUCAUAUAUCAAAUAUGAUACAACUCAAACUUCUUAAUUAUGUAAUGAAAACACAGAUGAUCACGGCAAGAGACCACCACUCUUAUUAGCCAUUGAAGGAAAGUUUGGCAAAAAGCAAACAAGAAAAAUCAAAAUCACACCAUUAAAAGGGAUAUGAUAUGAAGAACAGCAAGCAGGAGCUGUGAAAUGAAAGCAACCUAGUUGUAGAGAUCAGGAUUUGCCAAGAGGUAAGCUUCAACAGCCUUGUACAUUCCUGACGCCCUUUCUUUGCCAGCCUUAAUUUGCUCUCUUUCAUUGAUCUCAAUGUCACCAAUGGUAUUAAUACUUGCUGGUGCUCUUGCAAAUUGAUCCUCCAUCCUGGUGCUGCCACAAACUUGGUCUCAUAACUGAUUUUCUCAAGUGUGUCAUUCAAAGCAUCUCCUUCGAUCAACACUGUAACUGUAUGAGAAGUUCUCCUUGCUAUUCCUUCAACCUUUUGUUUCACAUACUUGAAUUGGCUUGCCUACAUUUGUUACCAAGCCAAAACUUACAUACUAUUGUAUUUCUCAAAUUAGAAAAUGGAAAGGAAUUUCAUGUGGCAAGAAAUAAACUAACCUUCACCAAAAGUAAUCUUCUUUGAUACUUCCGGGCCCACCAAUCUCCUUCAAGGAGCUCAGAGCUCUGAUUAGCUUGUGCACAACCUUGGGGAAAAUGUUUAUCCACCGUCAAGAACCAAAGGCCUUGAACAAUCUGAACUGGGGGGAUUGAGGUAGCUACCUCCAUUUCAUAAGUGACAACACCCAUGAUUCUACACUAGGAGUUUGAAAAUAUCAAAUUUAAGAAGAUAAAACAGAGAGAAAAAAAGGAUGAUUAACUGAGUGUUUGAGGUGUGGGAAGAAGUGAUUUCUAAGAUGGUAUUUAUUUUUGCUAUACUUUCAAAGAAUUUGAG